rnacentral:rRNA from 1 species
GACGAACGCUGGCGGCGUGCUUAACACAUGCAAGUCGAACGGUAAGGCCCCUUCGGGGGUACACGAGUGGCGAACGGGUGAGUAACACGUGGGUGAUCUGCCCUGCACUUCGGGAUAAGCCUGGGAAACUGGGUCUAAUACCGGAUAGGACCACGCUCUGCAUGGAGUGUGGUGGAAAGCUUUUGCGGUGUGGGAUGGGCCCGCGGCCUAUCAGCUUGUUGGUGGGGUGAGGGCCUACCAAGGCGACGACGGGUAGCCGGCCUGAGAGGGUGUCCGGCCACACUGGGACUGAGAUACGGCCCAGACGCCUACGGGAGGCAGCAGUGGGGAAUAUUGCACAAUGGGCGCAAGCCUGAUGCAGCGACGCCGCGUGGGGGAUGACGGCCUUCGGGUUGUAAACCUCUUUCAGUACCGACGAAGAGCAAGUGACGGUAGGUACAGAAGAAGCACCGGCCAACUACGUG